rnacentral:ncRNA from 1 species
UACUUGGUUGAUCCUGCCAAGGAAGCACACUUAGGUCAUAGAUUAAGCCAUGCAAGUGUUAGUUCAGGUAACGAAACUGCGAAUAGCUCAUUAAUACGCUCAGAAUCUAUUUGGCGGCGACCAACAGGUCUUAAAUGGAUAGCAGCAGCAACUCUGGUGCUAAUACAUGCGAUUGUUUCUCCAGAUGUGAAUUAUGGAGGAAAAGUUGACCUCAUCAGAGGCACGCCAUUCGACUGAGUGACCUAUCAGCUUGUACUUAGGGUCUUUACCUAGGUAGGCUAUCACGGGUAACGGGCGGUUACCGUCGGACUGCCGGAGAAGGCGCCUGAGAGAUAGCGACUAUAUCCACGGGUAGCAGCAGGCGCGAAACUUUCCCACUCGAGACUUUCGGAGGAGGUAAUGACCAGUUCCAUUGGUGCCUUUUGGUACUGUGGAUAGGGGUACGGUUUUCCACCGUACCGAAACCUAGCAGAGGGCCAGUCUGGUGCCAGCAGCUGCGGUAAUUCCAGCUCUGCGAGUUUGCUCCCAUAUUGUUGCAGUUAAAACGCCCGUAGUCUGAAUUGGCCAGCAAUGGUCGUACGUAUUUUUACGUUCACUGUGAACAAAUCAGGACGCUUAGAGUAUGGCCACAUGAAUGACUUCAGCGCAGUAUGAAAGUCUUUG